rnacentral:rRNA from 1 species
UACGUAGGGGGCAAGCGUUGUCCGGAUUUAUUGGGCGUAAAGAGCGUGUAGGCGGUUAGGUAGGUCCGUUGUGAAAACUCGAGGCUCAACCUCGAGACGCCGAUGGAAACCAUCUAACUAGAGUCCGGAAGAGGAGAGUGGAAUUCCCGGUGUAGCGGUGAAAUGCGCAGACAUCGGGAAGAACACCCGUGGCGAAGGCGGCACUCUGGGACGGUACUGACGCUGAGACGCGAAAGCGUGGGGAGCGAACAGG